GGCUGGUCCAACAAGUGCAGUGCUGUUUAGAACUAAUUAAUCACAAACAGUUACAAAUUUCUUUGUUCCUUCUCCACUCCCACUGCUUCAUUUGAUUAGCCUUAA
ensembl:misc_RNA Y_RNA Y RNA